AGUUAGCCAGAUGGUUGCGGGGAGAAAUCCACGAGGAAAGUCCGAGCAUCGCAGAACAGAGUGCCGGUCAACUGCCGGUGAAGGUGACUUCAAGGAAAGUGCAACAGAAAUGUACCGCCACAUUGAUUUUUUGAUAUGGUAAGGUUGAAAGGGCGAGGUAAGAGCUCACCGACCUGUUGGCAACAACGGGUGCAAUGUAAACCCCACUUGAUGCAAGGUAAAAUGACGCAUAAGUUGUUCGCUUUGUCAUAUACACCGCUUGAACGUGUUAGAAAUAUCACGUCUAGAUAGAUAACCAUCAAAUACAGAACUCGGCUUAUAGACUAACUUGA
rnacentral:RNase_P_RNA from 1 species